rnacentral:tRNA from 1 species
ACAAAUGGUUAAUGUAUUCAGCUGCUAACUGAAAGGUUGGAGGUUCAAAUCCACC